AGCGAACGCUGGCGGCAGGCCUAAUACAUGCAAGUCGAGCGCACCUUCGGGUGAGCGGCGGACGGGUGAGUAACGCGUGGGAACGUGCCCUUUGGUACGGAACAACUGAGGGAAACUUCAGCUAAUACCGUAUGUGCCCUUCGGGGGAAAGGAUUUAUCGCCAUUGGAGCGGCCCGCGUUGGAUUAGCUAGUUGGUGGGGUAAAGACUCACCAAGGCUUCGAUCCAUAGCUGGUCNGAGAGGAUGAUCAGCCACACUGGGACUGAGACACGGCCCAGACUCCUACGGGAGGCAGCAGUAGGGAAUCUUGCGCAAUGGGCGAAAG
rnacentral:rRNA from 1 species